AUUGAACGCUGGCGGCAGGCUUAACACAUGCAAGUCGAGCGGAGAUGAGGUGCUUGCACCUUAUCUUAGCGGCGGACGGGUGAGUAAUGCUUAGGAAUCUGCCUAUUAGUGGGGGACAACAUUCCGAAAGGAAUGCUAAUACCGCAUACGUCCUACGGGAGAAAGCAGGGGAUCUUCGGACCUUGCGCUAAUAGAUGAGCCUAAGUCGGAUUAGCUAGUUGGUGGGGUAAAGGCCUACCAAGGCGACGAUCUGUAGCGGGUCUGAGAGGAUGAUCCGCCACACUGGGACUGAGACACGGCCCAGACUCCCACGGGAGGCAGCAGUGGGGAAUAUUGGACAAUGGGGGAAACCCUGAUCCAGCCAUGCCGCGUGUGUGAAGAAGGCCUUAUGGUUGUAAAGCACUUUAAGCGAGGAGGAGGCUACUGAAACUAAUACUCUUGGAUAGUGGACGUUACUCGCAGAAUAAGCACCGGCUAACUCUGUGCCAGCAGCCGCGUAA
rnacentral:rRNA from 1 species